UACGUAGGGGGCAAGCGUUACUCGGAAUUACUGGGCGUAAAGGGUGCGUAGGUGGCCGAUUAAGUCAAAGAUGAAAUCCCGAGGCUCAACUUCGGAAUUGUCUUUGAAACUGGUCGGCUUGAGGCUAGUUGAGGAGAGCGGAAUUCCCGGUGGAGCGGUGAAAUGCGUAGAUAUCGGGAGGAACACCUGAGGCGAAGGCGGUUCUCUAAACUAGUCCUGACGCUGAAACACGAAAGCUAGGGGAGCAAACGGG
rnacentral:rRNA from 1 species